AGGAAGUAAAAGUCGUAACAAGGUCUCCGUAGGUGAACCUGCGGAGGGAUCAUUACAAGUGACCCCGGUCUUACCACCGGGAUGUUCAUAACCCUUUGUUGUCCGACUCUGUUGCCUCCGGGGCGACCCUGCCUUCGGGCGGGGGCUCCGGGUGGACACUUCAAACUCUUGCGUAACUUUGCAGUCUGAGUAAACUUAAUUAAUAAAUUAAAACUUUUAACAACGGAUCUCUUGGUUCUGGCAUCGAUGAAGAACGCAGCGAAAUGCGAUAAGUAAUGUGAAUUGCAGAAUUCAGUGAAUCAUCGAAUCUUUGAACGCACAUUGCGCCCCCUGGUAUUCCGGGGGGCAUGCCUGUUCGAGCGUCAUUUCACCACUCAAGCCUCGCUUGGUAUUGGGCAACGCGGUCCGCCGCGUGCCUCAAAUCGACCGGCUGGGUCUUCUGUCCCCUAAGCGUUGUGGAAACUAUUCGCAAAAGGGUGUUCGGGAGGCUACGCCGUAAAACAACCCCAUUUCUAAGGUUGACCUCGGAUCGGGUAGGGAUACCCGCUGAACUUAAGCAUAUCAAUAAGCGGAGGAAAAGAAACCAACAGGGAUUGCUCUAGUAACGGCGAGUGAAGCAGCAAUAGCUCAAAUUUGAAAUCUGGCGUCUUCGACGUCCGAGUUGUAAUUUGUAGAGGAUGCUUCUGAGUAACCACCGACCUAAGUUCCUUGGAACAGGACGUCAUAGAGGGUGAGAAUCCCGUAUGCGGUCGGAAAGGUGCUCUAUACGUAGCUCCUUCGACGAGUCGAGUUGUUUGGGAAUGCAGCUCUAAAUGGGAGGUAAAUUUCUUCUAAAGCUAAAUAUUGGCCAGAGACCGAUAGCGCACAAGUAGAGUGAUCGAAAGAUGAAAAGCACUUUGGAAAGAGAGUUAAAAAGCACGUGAAAUUGUUAAAAGGGAAGGGAUUGCAACCAGACUUGCUCGCGGUGUUCCGCCGGUCUUCUGACCGGUCUACUCGCCGCGUUGCAGGCCAGCAUCGUCUGGUGCCGCUGGAUAAGACUUGAGGAAUGUAGCUCCCUCGGGAGUGUUAUAGCCUCUUGUGAUGCAGCGAGCGCCGGGCGAGGUCCGCGCUUCGGCUAGGAUGCUGGCGUAAUGGUC
rnacentral:rRNA from 1 species